AAAAUGAGCAUGCCCCCUGUGAAAAAUAUGUUGACCACACCACAUUAAAGAAGUUCAGUCACAAGUUAAAAUGAAUGUGGCGCAUUAUAACCUGUGAUUCCUCAGUUGUUGUUUCUAAAUUACUGUCGGACUACUUAUCACAUAGAGUCUUGAACUUGUACAUUUUCUAGGGGAGAAGAAGAUUUGGCAAUAAGUAACUCAAUUUAUUGCUUAAAGACCCUUGGAGACCCUAGAAAACAAUAAGGAGGAAUUUCAGCACCAUGGACAGUGACACUGGGAUAUUAUGAGUUUUACAUCUUUUUGUUUUUAUUUUAUUUUCUGAUGUGGUUUUUCCAAAUGUUUGCACUGGGAAGGGGCUGGAUCCUUGUUUUUUUGUCUUUUGUUAUGUCUAUUGAUAUUUUGUAUUAUUGCAUUUGCGGCAUUUGGAGUUUUGUAUUCUUAAUUCUUAUCCCUACUUUUAUUUUUUUCCAUGUCUAUUUAAGUGCUAUUUAUGACACUAUGUUUGCACCGCAGCAAUUUCCUAAUGUUGUAAACCUGCUCAACAUUUGGCAAUAAACCCCAUUCUGAUUCUGAUUCUGAUCUCUGAUUGUAGAAUGGGAGGGAGAGCUUUCAGUUUUCAGGCCCCUCUUCUGUGGAACCAGUUUCCAGUUUGGAUUCGGGAGACAGACACUAUCUCUACUUUUAAGAUUAGGCUUAAAACUUUCCUCUUUGCUAAAGCAUAUAGUUAGGGCUGGAUCAGGUGACCCUGAAUCCUCCCUUAGUUAUGCUGCAAUAGACGUAGGUUGCCGGGGGAUUCCCAUGAUGCAUUGAGUUUUUCCUUUCCAGUCACCUUUCUCACUCACUAUGUGUUAAUAGACCUCUCUGCAUUGAAUCAUAUCUGUUAUUAACCUCUGUCUCUCUUCCACAGCAGGUCUUCUAUCCUGUCUCCCCUGGCCCCGCCCCUCCCUGAGCCUGGUUCUGCCGGAGGUUUCUUCCUGUUAAAAGGGAGUUUUUCCUUCCCACUGUCGCCAAAGUGCUUGCUCAUAGGGGGUCAUAUGAUUGUUGGGCUUUUCUCUGUAUCUAUGAAGCGCCUUGAGGUGACUUUUGUUGUGAUUUGGCGCUAUAUAAAUAAAAUUGAAUUGAAUUUUACUUUCAGCAGUUAUUUGUGGUUGGUUUCUUUAUGUUAAUAUUCUCAGCUUUUUCGGUCUUCUCUUAGCUUUUUCUGUCUUGCCAUUUUCUUUAUUUUGAUAGUCAUCUGUCUCUGUUCCCAUGUCUUAGUUUAUAAUUCCCCAUGUCAUAUUUUCGGAUUCAGUUCUGCAUUGUCUCCCAGGUGUCUCCAU
ensembl:lncRNA